rnacentral:lncRNA from 1 species
GACUCUAGUUCUCACUACAAGAAACAGACUAUUCCUCUCUAGUCUCCUCUAGAACACUACUUUUAUUCAAGAACUAAUGAGAAAUUAGCUUUGGAGCACAAAAGCAAAGAAAACACAAGAAGUGAGAGGUAAAUUGAAAAGUUUACUCCCUUCUCUACAAACAAGAAAUACACAAAAAUGACAUAAAGAGGAUUAAUGCCUUUUUGGGAAAAGGACACUGUAGUAGUCAAAGGCAUGAAGAGAUUCCUCAUCUAUCAAAGCAGAUGCUACUUGCAGAGGACAGAUAAACUCAUUCUCAAAAUCAAAGAAUAAACCACAUGACUGUGUGGACUUCUGGAGGAAACCUCACCACAGUUUUGUGAAGAAUGAAGGAACAGCCACGAGCAUCAGCAUCUCAUUGAUGUGGUCAGUCACAAUGGUCGGUAUCUGAAGCCCCUGUAAAUACAAAUACAAGUCAGUGCAAUACCCAAACUAACUGUACAAAAGUUAAAACAAUUACAAUGUAGGUAAUGUGUCAUUUUAAAAGCACACGUGUGGACAGUCAUACACUCUUACUAUAGUUUAUGCAAAAUUUUCUCAUAAAAAUGAAUAUUUACACCUUGAACAGAGUUGACAACACAGAACUACCUUAAACUCAACCUGCAGUCAACAAGAGAAGUCUUUUGUCAGGCUUCAGCUUGCUCUUGCUGCAGAUCUCCAGGCACUUAUUCUGGAAAUAAACCCUAGCCUAUUCUUACUAUUCAAAACACAGCUGGCACUUACUUUCACUAGAGUACAACUAGAAUUCUCAAAAAAAAAAACCCCAAAAAACAAAUCACCAAAACAAACAAAUAAACCAAAAAACCAACCCCCAACCCAAAGCAAACAGACCAAAAAAAAUCAAACCAAAAUCGUCUUUAAUUCAGAUUAAAAUUUACUAAUCUGACACUAUGCAAAAGAGGCCACAUCAAACGUUACCUGAGGAAAGUGGAUUCUUACACAGUCAUUAUCUCAACAGUAUUUCAAGCUCUAGAAAGCAGGAACCCACUGGAAAAUAGAGAGACCUCGGGCCGACUGGACUACACAGCGGAUCCUCUCGGGAUAUGAACUAACUGCUUCAGAGAGUCAAACGGUCAGCUGCAAGAAACCGAGAUCUUUAAAACCAAGACCUCAGACGUAUUAGCACAGACGUAGUAACAAAAGAAACUCCUUUUCAGUGCACUCGGUGCCCGAGAAGAAACUUCCAGCCCGCAGCGAUCCGUCCCUCCGUCCCAGCCCACGGCGCCACUUCCGCCCGCCCGCACGCACGCAGCCCGCCA